AAGCACUAGGGGAGCUAUGUUGAAUGGCUGAGAAAGGUAAUCCUUGACCCUUGGCACCCGAUCUAGAUAAUACUAGCGUGGGGAAGUGU
rnacentral:ncRNA from 1 species